rnacentral:rRNA from 1 species
AGUGAACGCUGGCGGCGGGCCUAAUACAUGCAAGUCGAACGGAGUGGCGCACGGGCGGGUAAUGUAUAGCUAGUCAGCCGUACACUAGAGGACAACAGUUGGAGACGACUGCUAAUAAUCUAUAGUGUAGGAUGAUGGUAUAUUGUAUCAGCUAGGUGGUGGGGUAAUGGCUCACCAAGGCUAUGACGCAUAACUGGUCUGAGAGGAUGAUCAGUAAAACUGGAAGUGAGGCAGGGGCGGGAAUCCUACGGGAAGCAGCAGUAGGGAAUAGUGCUCAAUGGGGGAAAACGUGAAUCAGCAUCGCCGCGUGGAGGAUGAUACUUUUCGGGGCGUGAACUCCUUUUGUUAGGGAUGCGGUACCUAACGAAUAAGCACCGGCUAACUCCGUGCCAGCAGCCGCGGUAAUAC